GACGAACGCUGGCGGCGUGCUUAACACAUGCAAGUCGAACGGAAAGGCCCUGCUUUUGUGGGGUGCUCGAGUGGCGAACGGGUGAGUAACACGUGAGUAACCUGCCCUUGACUUUGGGAUAACUUCAGGAAACUGGGGCUAAUACCGGAUAGGAGCUCCUGCUGCAUGGUGGGGGUUGGAAAGUUUCGGCGGUUGGGGAUGGACUCGCGGCUUAUCAGCUUGUUGGUGGGGUAGUGGCUUACCAAGGCUUUGACGGGUAGCCGGCCUGAGAGGGUGACCGGCCACAUUGGGACUGAGAUACGGCGCAGACUCCUACGGGAGGCAGCAGUGGGGAAUAUUGCACAAUGGGCGGAAGCCUGAUGCAGCAACGCCGCGUGCGGGAUGACGGCCUUCGGGAUGUAAACCGCUUUCGCCUGUGACGAAGCGUGAGUGACGGUAAUGGGUAAAGAAGCACCGGCUAACUACGUG
rnacentral:rRNA from 1 species